UCGGGUACUGUUCACCCGAGCUCGGGCACUGUUCACCCGACCCAAAAACCUUCUCCGGCCGAUUUCUCCACCAUCCGACGUCGCCUCGUGUCGUGCCACCUAUCAAACUGACGGGCUCGACGAGCUCCAUCUUUUGGGCUACGCCUUGCACUCCGGCGACAACCACACACGGUGUAGCAACCGCCGGAAGUUACUGCUGUGGCGGCGCCGCCUCCUCCGGCCACCAUGGCUCAAGAUUCUUGGGGGGUUUUGCUUGUCUCAGUCCCAGCAACAUUCCCACAAAAGGAAUCGAGCCAAAUCGAAGUGUGACUGACGAAACGAGUGAGGAAAUUACUUUCAGGGUCGUGGAAGUUGCACGCAGGAAAGAAGUGGAUAACUCCGCAGGUGUGGAUUAGCGGGAAUUGACGGACCGCUCAGAGGACUUGAAGUUAUUCAUCUCCAGCUUGUGUGAGGAUUUUGUGUGACUAUCUUGUGAGUUUGUUGUGAGGAUUACGCAAUUCCAUUUGUUAUAAUAUUGAAUUAUAAUUUGGGUUGUAAUAAUCGGUUUAACUGAGUUGUAUUUUGAACUCAGAGAUGAUCCGCUGUGGCAUUUUAAAUGAUUUCGAUUCGUUGAAA